rnacentral:rRNA from 1 species
CCAAGGCGACGAUCAGUAGCCGGCCUGAGAGGGUGGACGGCCACAUUGGGGCUGAGACACGGCCCAGACUCCUACGGGAGGCAGCAGUGGGGAAUAUUGCACAAUGGGGGAAACCCUGAUGCAGCAAUGCCGCGUGAAGGAAGAAGUAUCUCGGUAUGUAAACUUCUAUCAGCAGGGAAGAAACUGACGGUACCUGACUAAGAAGCACCGGCUAAAUAC